rnacentral:rRNA from 1 species
CCUACGGGAUGCAGCAGUGGGGAAUAUUGGACAAUGGGCGAAAGCCUGAUCCAGCAAUGCCGCGUGUGUGAAGAAGGUCUUCGGAUUGUAAAGCACUUUCAGCGGGGAGGAAGGGAGUAAAGUUAAUACCUUUGCUCAUUGACGUUACCCGCAGAAGAAGCACCGGCUAACUCCGUGCCAGCAGCCGCGGUAAUACGGAGGGUGCAAGCGUUAAUCGGAAUUACUGGGCGUAAAGCGCACGCAGGCGGUUUGUUAAGUCAGAUGUGAAAUCCCCGGGCUCAACCUGGGAACUGCAUCUGAUACUGGCAAGCUUGAGUCUCGUAGAGGGGGGUAGAAUUCCAGGUGUAGCGGUGAAAUGCGUAGAGAUCUGGAGGAAUACCGGUGGCGAAGGCGGCCCCCUGGACGAAGACUGACGCUGAGGCGCGAAAGCGUGGGGAGCAAACAGGAUUAGAUACCCGAGUAGUC